ensembl:misc_RNA
UUGACAACUCUGGAAAUAGAGGAUUUUUUUUAAUUCACAUAUUAGAUAUAUGUGGGCAUUGGCAUUCAAAGCUUCCCUCGUGCUAUUUCCUUUAGUCCUGUCCUUUGGGGACUUGCCUCCAAGGGUGAGAGGGUAGUUCAGGUUUCCUGGCUUGUUCAGCCUUUUGUCUCU